UACGUAGGGCGCAAGCGUUGUCCGGAAUUAUUGGGCGUAAAGAGCUCGUAGGCGGCUUGUCACGUCGGGUGUGAAAGCCCGGGGCUUAACCCCGGGUCUGCAUUCGAUACGGGCAGGCUAGAGUGUGGUAGGGGAGAUCGGAAUUCCUGGUGUAGCGGUGAAAUGCGCAGAUAUCAGGAGGAACACCGGUGGCGAAGGCGGAUCUCUGGGCCAUUACUGACGCUGAGGCGCGAAAGCUAGGGGAGCGAACAGG
rnacentral:rRNA from 1 species